rnacentral:rRNA from 1 species
UGGUCUCCCAGGCGGUCACUUAAUGCGUUAGCUGCGCCACUAAGAGCUCAAGGCUCCCAACGGCUAGUUGACAUCGUUUACGGCGUGGACUACCAGGGUAUCUAAUCCUGUUUGCUCCCCACGCUUUCGCACCUCAGUGUCAGUAUCAGUCCAGGUGGUCGCCUUCGCCACUGGUGUUCCUUCCUAUAUCUACGCAUUUCACCGCUACACAGGAAAUUCCACCACCCUCUACCAUACUCUAGCUCGACAGUUUUGAAUGCAGUUCCCAGGUUGAGCCCGGGGAUUUCACAUCCAACUUAACGAACCACCUACGCGCGCUUUACGCCCAGUAAUUCCGAUUAACGCUUGCACCCUCUGUAUUACCGCGGCUGCUGGCACAGAGUUAGCCGGUGCUUAUUCUGUCGGUAACGUCAAAACACUAACGUAUUAGGUUAAUGCCCUUCCUCCCAACUUAAAGUGCUUUACAAUCCGAAGACCUUCUUCACACACGCGGCAUGGCUGGAUCAGGCUUUCGCCCAUUGUCCAAUAUUCCCCACUGCUGCCUCCCGUAGGAGUCUGGACCGUGUCUCAGUUCCAGUGUGACUGAUCAUCCUCUCAGACCAGUUACGGAUCGUCGCCUUGGUGAGCCAUUACCCCACCAACUAGCUAAUCCGACCUAGGCUCAUCUGAUAGCGCAAGGCCCGAAGGUCCCCUGCUUUCUCCCGUAGGACGUAUGCGGUAUUAGCGUCCGUUUCCGAGCGUUAUCCCCCACUACCAGGCAGAUUCCUAGGCAUUACUCACCCGUCCGCCGCUCUCAAGAGGUGCAAGCACCUCUCUACCGCUCGACUUGCAUGUGUUAGGCCUGCCGCCAGCGUUCAUCUGCG